AUGAUUAAAAAUGAUGAAGGUGUGUUUGCAGAUGUUGAUGAUGAUUUGUGUUUAGAUGCUGCUGCUGCUGCUCCUGUGCUGAACAUCCUCCGUCCGUCCAGAGAAGAGCUGAGCUCCAGUAAACUCACUCUGGUGUGUCUGAUCAAUCACAUGUCUGGGGCUUUUGCUGAUGUGCGUUGGCUUGUGAACGGGAACUCAGUUACUGAAGGCGUCUUCACUGGAUCUGCUGAACAGCAGCCUGAUAAGAAAUUCAAGAUGAGCAGUUAUUUAACCCUUGAGAGCUCAGAGUGGGACAAAGACACACAGCUGACAUGUGAAGCAUCUGCUGCCUCCAAAACCACCAGAAAAAGCAUCAAGAAAUCUGACUGCAGCGACUGAACUGCUUGAUCUCCUCUUGAUUAAGUGAUAGCAUUUCAAUUUGUUUGCAUGG